rnacentral:lncRNA from 1 species
GUUGAGACUUUAUUCACUCUGGGCAGUUUGUUGAAGAUUAGGUGGUCAGCUCACAAUGAAUCAUAAGCUGCUUUUGUCCCUUGCUGUCUAUGCUUAGAAGCUAAAAGGUUAAGCAGCGAUGUCAGCGCUAUCAGGGAGCUGUGGAGACUGGAAUUGAAGUUCAGAACCUUUCAUGGGAGACAGCUCAGGUAAACAUCCAAGCAAAGUGAUAAAGGAAGAAAACAAUACGAAACUCACUACCCACUGUGGGCUGCUUUCAAGCUUUAACUUCAGAUCCUCCUGCUAGUUUUUACUUUUCAGAGUGUUUAAGUGCUUGUUUUUGUUUGUUUGUUUGUUUGUUUUUUGUAGUUUGUUCAGUUUUAGUGGUGAACAGUGCAUUAGAUAGAUUCUAGUUGGCUUAUUUCAUCUUAGCAAUCAUCGAAAACUUAGAUAUUUUAUCUUUAAAAUUACAAACCAAUAUGGACUACUACAAACAUCUAUUAGAGCGUCGCUGCCUUUAAAUAUGAUUCCCUAGGUUGGGUGUGAUACUUCUGUAUUUUAGAAAGUUCCCCUGCCCCAAUAAAUCUAAAAUGUAAGGUUAAAAAC